rnacentral:rRNA from 1 species
UAGGGAAUCUUCGGCAAUGGGGGCAAACCUGACCGAGCAACGCCGCGUGAGUGAAGAAUGCUUUCGGAUCGUAAAGCUCUGUUGUAAGAGAAGAACGUGUGUGAGAGUGGAAAGUUCACACAGGGACGGUAACUUACCAGAAAGGGACGGCUAACUACGUGCCAGCAGCCGCGGUAAUACGUAGGUCCCGAGCGUUGUCCGGAUUUAUUGGGCGUAAAGCGAGCGCAGGCGGUUUAAUAAGUCUGAAGUUGAACGCAGUGGCUUAACCAUUGUUCGCUUGAGAAACUGUUGAACUUGAGUGCAGAAGGGGAGAGUGGAAUUCCAUGUGUAGCGGUGAAAUACGUAGAUAUAUGGAGGAACACCGGUGGCGAGAGCGGCUCUCUGGUCUGUAACUGACGCUGAGGCUCGAAAGCGUGGGGAGCAAGCAGG